rnacentral:rRNA from 1 species
GAGUUUGAUCGUGGCUCAGGAUGAACGCUGGCGGCGUGCUUAACACAUGCAAGUCGAACGGAGGACCCUUGACGGAGUUUUCGGACAACGGAUAGGAAUCCUUAGUGGCGGACGGGUGAGUAACGCGUGAGGAACCUGCCUUGGAGAGGGGAAUAACACAGAGAAAUUUGUGCUAAUACCGCAUGAUGCAGUUGGGUCGCAUGGCUCUGACUGCCAAAGAUUUAUCGCUCUGAGAUGGCCUCGCGUCUGAUUAGCUAGUUGGUAGGGUAACGGCCUACCAAGGCGACGAUCAGUAGCCGGACUGAGAGGUUGACCGGCCACAUUGGGACUGAGACACGGCCCAGACUCCUACGGGA